rnacentral:rRNA from 1 species
GACGUAGGGCGCGAGCGUUGUCCGGAUUUAUUGGGCGUAAAGAGCGUGUAGGCGGCCAGGUAGGUCUGGUGUGAAAACUCGAGGCUUAACCUCGAGAUGUCAUCGGAAACCAUCUGGCUAGAGUCCGGAAGAGGAGAGUGGAAUUCCUGGUGUAGCGGUGAAAUGCGCAGAUAUCAGGAGGAACACCUAUGGCGAAGGCAGCUCGCUGGGACGGUGACUGACGCUGAGGCGCGAAAGCGUGGGGAGCGAACAGG